AUUGAACGCUGGCGGCAGGCCUAACACAUGCAAGUCGAGCGGAUGAAGGGAGCUUGCUCCUGGAUUCAGCGGCGGACGGGUGAGUAAUGCCUAGGAAUCUGCCUGGUAGUGGGGGAUAACGUCCGGAAACGGGCGCUAAUACCGCAUACGUCCUGGGGAGAAAGUGGGGGGUCGUCGGAACUCACGCUACCAGAGGAGCCGCGGUCGGAUUAGCUAGUUGGGGGGGUAAAGGCCUUCCAAGGCGACGAUUCGUAACCGGUCUGAGUGGAUGAUCAGUCACACUGGAACUGGGACACCGUCCAGGCUCCUACGGGAGGCCGCAGUGGGGAAUGUUGGACAAUGGGCGAAAGCCUUAUCCAGCCAUGCCGCGUGUGUUAAGGAGGUCUUCCGAUUGGAAAGCACGUUAAGUUGGGAGGAAGCGCAGUAGGCUAAUACCUUGCGGUUUUGACGUUACCGACAGAAUAAGCACCGGCUAACUUCGUG
rnacentral:rRNA from 1 species